UACGGAGGUUGCAAGCGUUGUUCGGAAUUACUGGGCGUAAAGGGAGCGCAGGCGGUCGGGUCUGUCUGAAGUGAAAGCCCGUGGCUUAACCACGGAAGUGCUUUGGAUACUACCCGGCUUGAGUACGCGAGAGGAGAGCUGAAUUCCAGGUGUAGCGGUGAAAUGCGUAGAUAUCUGGAGGAACACCGGUGGCGAAAGCGGCUCUCUGGCGCGUUAUUGACGCUGAGGCACGAAAGCGUGGGGAGCAAACAGG
rnacentral:rRNA from 1 species